rnacentral:rRNA from 1 species
UGAGGAAUAUUGGUCAAUGGACGCAAGUCUGAACCAGCCACGUCGCGUGAAGGAAGACGGCCCUACGGGUUGUAAACUUCUUUUGUAAGGGAAUAAAGUGCAGUACGCGUACUGUUUUGCAUGUACCUUACGAAUAAGGAUCGGCUAACUCCGUGCCAGCAGCCGCGGUAAUACGGAGGAUCCGAGCGUUAUCCGGAUUUAUUGGGUUUAAAGGGUGCGCAGGCGGGAGAUUAAGUCGGCGGUGAAAUUUUGCAGCUCAACUGUAAAAGUGCCUUCGAAACUGGUUUCCUUGAGUGUGGAUGAAGUAGGCGGAAUUUGUGGUGUAGCGGUGAAAUGCAUAGAUAUCACGAGGAACUCCGAUUGCGCAGGCAGCUUACUAAACCAUAACUGACGCUCAGGCACGAAGGCGUGGGGAUCAAACAG